rnacentral:lncRNA from 1 species
CUAAAACUCAGUGGACUAAUUCUCAAAAAAAAGGAUAUGUGUAGCUUUUGUUUCUUCAAUAACAAUGUAUAGAAGUGUCUUUUAAGAGUGAUUUUAAACUACUUGUCUUUCAAGAUAACUUUUAACUGAUGACUUGGGGGCACUCAUAAGCUCUCUGGGGAUAAAACUGAGAUUCCAUUAGAAUAUCUUUGUUUAGGUUGUGGACAGGGGCUCUUGCCUGUAAUCCCAGCACUUUGAGAGGCCAAGGCAGGAGAAUCGCUUGAGCCCAGAAGUUCGAGACCAGCCUGGGAAACAUGGUGAGAUCUCUUCUCUUAAAAAAAAAAAGAAAGAAAAGAAAAGAAAAAAAGAAAAAAAAAUUGGUUUAGUUUCUAAGUUCAAAGAGAGAGAGAGAGAAUAGGGAUAAAGAAGAGAAGAAAUUCCUUUCUGUACAGGGCAGCUUUAAGUAUAACUUCUUGGCGGUGUCUGAAGUGGCAGAGAGAGAAUGGCGUCUGGGAUUUGAUUCUCUGCACUGUGAUUUAAGUUCACUGAACCUUGGUUUCCUCAUCUAUAAAACGAGAAUGUUGUCUUGAAGAGCAGGUGCUUAGUACUAUUAUAGUAAGCAAAGGAGUUCAAUUAAAUUACUUCUUGGGUUUCUUUUAAAUGCCAGAAUUAAAUAAUUGUAAAAUAGAUGAACCAAUUUCCCUUCAAUUGUGAGUAGUUUAAAAUGCCACCGAAGAUGGCAGAAUAAGCCAUUAAAAUGGCUUUUAUAAAACUUUCUUCCUUCUGCUUUUAUCAACUAUAAAUUAAAGCUAUUCUAUUCAUAGUCUAAAGCUGAGGAAAUAAGCUUUUGUAACCUGCCAAUAUUUUCACCCCAG